UAUAAUAACUAAUAAAAUAAACAAUAUAUUUUAAAAUAUCUUCAACAUAUGGUGAAAAAAAACACCCAUUACAUUUACAAAUAAACAGAGGUAGCAAACAAGUAACCUUUGACAUUAUGUCCUUGAGGUAACCCUCACUCUCACCCUAAAAAAACAACAACAAAAAACACCUGAUCUAAGCAAUAUUAAACCAUUAAACUGUAGCAAUAUUUAUAACAACUCUAAACAUGAACACAUUGGGUUUCCUGUAUUAAGCUCAGGAAAAAAUAAUAAAUUAAUAAAAAAAAUAUAUGAAUGAAUGUCACGUGACCGUAGGCUACAUAUAUGCGAUGACCGUUUUAAUUUGUAUCAGAUGACCGUUGUGAUUUCCUCAGCCUACUGUACCCUCAACAUUUUUUGAUCAUUUUCCUCACAUUAAUAACCUGUAAAUAGAACCAGUUGUACAUAUUAAGUUCCUGUUCAUUCAUUACAUGUCUUUCUACUACUGUUGUUUUAAAAGUUAAUUAGUCGUCUUUAAGUUUGUUUGUAGUUUGUCGUUAGUUCAUCAAGUGGUUGAAAGUUAUCCAUUACCAUCCGUCAACCAACUAAAGGUAUGUACAUUAUGUUAAUGCAUUAGACUUGGUAGGCCAGUAAACAAAUAACAAAAAAAUAGGUUUGUUUGUAUUAAGGUCUUAAUACUAUGGCUUCAAAUGAACCAUCCUAUUGGAUGAAAAGCAAAGGACAAGGUGGAUCAGCAACUGCAGACAAUACAGGCAACAACUUGGGGGAAAGAAUUCGGUUGGAUGCACAGUAAAACCGUUCAAGGUCAAAAUGAUGAUGACGAUACAUUCAUGGACUGUCUCUCUCAUGUUGAUGAGACUGAAGAUGUCAGAAGUGUUCCUGAUGACAGUGAAUCAGACACAGAAUCAGAAUCAGAUCCAAAUUCAUUAGAUGAUGAUUUGGCAUCCUGGGCUACUGAACACAAAAUUACACAUGUGGCAUUGAAUUCAUUGCUCAACAUUCUACGGCUACACAGUUUAAAUCUACCAAAAGACUCGAGGACAUUGCUAGGAACUGUGCGUUUAAACCCUGACAUACAAGACAAGGCUGGUGGCCAGUAUUACCAUUUCGAAAUGCUGAAUUCAAUUGCAGAGGUGCUACAUCAGAAUGUUGACAUUCUGCGCAACAUUCACACGCUGGAGCUUCAGGUCAGCAUUGAUGGUUUGCCUCUCUAUAAGAGCUCAGCAACACAGUUCUGGCCCAUCCUAGGGACACUGCAAAACAUCAAACAAGAGGAACCAGUGACAAUAGGUUUAUUUUGUGGCACAAGUAAACCUACAUCCCUAGCAGAGUACCUUCAAGAAUUCAUCUCUGAAGUAAAUGAAUUAGCUAAAGGAUUUGAAUUCGAUGGAGUGAUGUUCAAUUUAAUACUCUCUUCGAUGGUCUGUGAUGCACCUGCCCAUGCAUUCCUGAAAAAUGUUAAAGGUCACACAGGCUAUCACGGAUGUGAAAAAUGCACACAGGAUGGUUUGUACCUAGAAAAUAGAAUGACAUUUCCAAGAACUGACAUGCCUUUAAGAACUAAUGAGAGCUUCAGAAAUAAGACAGAUGCUGAUCAUCAUCAUGGUCCAUCACCUCUUGAAGAAACAUCCCUAAACAUGGUCUCUGGUUUCCCCCUUGACUACAUGCACCUUGUGUGCCUCGGAAUCAUGAGACGGCUUCUUCUCUUGUGGCUUAAGAUGGGUCCUCUGACUUGUAGGCUGUCAGGAUUUCAAAUAAACACAUUGUCAGAAAGACUGUUAAAUGCUCGGAGAAGUGUGCCCAUGGAGUUUGCAAGGAAACCAAGGGCACUGAGAGAAAUUGAUAGGUGGAAGGCAACCGAGUUUAGGCAGUUUUUACUGUAUACCGGACCGGUCAUGAUGAAAGAUCUCCUUAACACAGAGGUGUACAAAAAUUUCUUGCUACUUUUUGUGGGAAUCCUGUGCAACAACAGUUUGAUUGAAGAAUACUGUGAUUAUGCCAAUGACUUACUGGUACUCUUUGUCUCUCACUUUGGUCAACUGUAUGGUCCACAAUUCUUGUCCUACAAUGCACACUGCCUUGUGCAUCUUGCAGAUGAUGCGAAAAAGCAUGGUGUCCUUGACAACUUCAGUGCUUUCAAGUAUGAGAAUCACCUAAACAAACUCAAAAGACUUCUGAGGAAACCAACAUGCCCACUCAGUCAAAUAAUAAAAAGACUCUCAGAAAUGCAAAGAUGCUGCAAAAAAACUCACAAAACCAGGCCACAUCUGCUCAAAAAACCACAUGCGACUGGUCCUCUUCCUGCAUCCUUCCAUGAGGCGACACAAUACAAAGAGUUGAGAACAAGCCCACACACUCUGAAAUUGGAUAAGGCAAACAGUCACGUUUGCAUUGGCGGCAAAGUUGCUAAGCUGCAAAACAUCAUUUCAUGAAGGGAUGAAAUUUAUGUUGCUUACAAUACCUUCAACCACCAGGAAUCCUUUUUUGACUAUCCACUGCCAUCCUCUACACUUGGCAUUCAUUUAGCGGAUGACCUCUCAACAACAGUUGAUUUCUGCAAGUUUGAGGAAAUAGAGAGCAAAAUUUUUCUUGUCCCCUAUCACAAUCAAUUCGUUUCAAUUCCUCUUUUACAUACGAAGUAAUUCUUUAUCAGCACUUUUUGUUUCAUAGUUCAUGCAUUUCAAGUGCAUUGUUCAAAAUUAAGUUUCAUUUAAGAGUUAAUAAAAAAUACGGGUUUCAGGCUUGCAAAAAAAAAAAAAAUGUACCUAAUCGUGGAGUUUGAGGGAGAAGGGACGACUGGACCAGCUGCCAAGUCCUGGUAUGCAGAUGGCUACUCGUGGUGGCCACCAUAUAAAGAUCUUGACAGGUUGCUGAAGAGUGUUAGGACAAUGGAGGCACCACAGCCAGAAAAAGGGUGGACCCGACAUAGAGCAAGAAUCCUGCACGAGUC